CAGUUCAAAGAGGGAGGCUCCAGGAGGGACUUCCUGUCUGGUGGGGACCAGUCCCAGGUGUCACCUGGCUCGGGGUGUUUUUGAGCGGCUUGGCCUCCCUUCUGGAGAGGAGGACAGAGGCUGAGGUCACAUCCUCACUGCCCUCCGGAGGCUGAGCAGAG
rnacentral:lncRNA from 1 species